GCAUUGGUUUUUCAGUGGUAGAAUUCUCGCCUUACAGGCAGGACAUUGGGGUUUGAAUCCUGGCCAAUGCA
rnacentral:tRNA from 1 species